UUGUCAAGCCGGGCCUUAAAAACCUCUAAGGAAGGAGAUUGCACCACCUCCCUAGGUAACCCAUUCCAGUACUUCACCACCCUCCUAGUGAAAAAGUUUUUCCUAAUAUCCAACCUAAACCUCCCCCCUGCAACUUGAGACCAUUACUCCUUGUUCUGUCAUCUGCCACCACUGAGAACAGCCGCGCUCCAACCUCUUUGGAACCCCCUGUGACGAAGUGGGACUGUUCUUAAUGGUUCCUCUGAAUAGUGUGGGGGUGCCUCAGUUUCCCCUAUGCAGUUCUUAAGUAUCUAGGGGGUGGGAUAAGGGUGUAUGAUCAUUGCAGAGCCCUAGAGGGCAGGUGUGUGCAGGGGUCUGGACACAGAGAAUGGCCGACACCCUGUUUCCUGGCCACUGAUGGCCUGGGCCCUUCCCCCCUGCAAGGUGAGAGCUAAAGGGUUGGAGAACAAAGGAAUCCAGUGACCUCCUGGCCCAGGACAGGGACAAAGCCCAGAGGAGGAGGGGCUGGAGGGAGUUUCAGUUUGGGGCUGGCUGAGGACAUGGAGUGAAGGGCAGACGUGGUUGUCUGGCUCACUGCCCCCCCAAAAUGGACCCAGCUGAGGGGUCCUGUUCUCUGCACCUACAAGCUCUGUGUUAGACCAUGUUCCUGUCGUCUAAUAAACCUCUGUUUUACUGGCUGGCUGAGAGUCCCGUCUGACUGCGGAGUUGGGGGGCAGGACCCUCUGGCUUCCCCAGGACCCCGCCUGGGCGGGCUCGCUGUGGGAAGCGCACGGAGGGGCAGAGGAGGCUGAAUGCUCCGAGGUCAGACCCAGGAAGGUGGAAGCCGGGUGAGCUGUGUGUCCUGCAGACAGGCUGCUCCCAGAAAGGCGACUGCCCCAGAGUCCUGACUGACUUCAUGGGGAGC